rnacentral:rRNA from 1 species
UACGGGGGGGGCAAGCGUUGUUCGGAAUUACUGGGCGUAAAGGGCUCGUAGGUGGCCAACUAAGUCAGACGUGAAAUCCCUCGGCUUAACCGGGGAACUGCGUCUGAUACUGGAUGGCUUGAGGUUGGGAGAGGGAUGCGGAAUUCCAGGUGUAGCGGUGAGAUGCGUAGAUAUCUGGAGGAACACCGGUGGCGAAGGCGGCAUCCUGGACCAAUUUGACGCUGAGGAGCGAAAGCCAGGGGAGCAAACGGG